CGUUGUAACACCGGUCCCCCUAAGAUCCCCUAAGUUAAGCAACGUCGAACAUGGUCAGUACUUAGAUUGGUACCCGUUUUGGAAUACCAGGUGCUGUAA